rnacentral:lncRNA from 1 species
CAACGCCACCCACUUUUUAUUUCCUGGUGCUGGGGUCCCUCUGCCUUACCAAGGAUUAUCUCGUGUCCAAGAUUUGCACAUCACCCAUGCACGUCCUCCGAGGUGGAGGGAUGGAGAAUGGAAAGGUUAAGACCCCCUGGUUCAAGGAAGUUGGAAAAACACAAAAUAAUAAAUAUGAAGCCAAGAACAGCAUUGGGAGUAGAGAUGGGGUGGAUGCCAUGGAAUCGCUGUGCUUUGUCACUUAUGAAAUUCUAUCCGGAACUGGGAUGUAAUCCAGCCCUGUGGAGUGGAGGGAAAUGUAUUCCAAAACCUGGGGCUUCUUUUAAUGCGUGAGGAAUGAAUUGACCUUAACCCAGACGCCUAACAUUCCUUUCGGAAUACUUUUUGGGAUUCCCAUUGAAAUUGCCUACUACAGAGGAACACCCUUGGAUGGUUUUGAUGAUGUGUUGUGGGUUUCGUAAUUAAGCUCCACUCUCCCUUAACGAUCGGUCAUUUGCCAAAGGAAUACAAUAAGAGGAAAAGGCGAUACAGUGUUUUGUUCUCCUCCCCGAGGGCCUUGGAAGUGUUCGCACACAGCGAUGUCGCGUCGAUGCACCAAUAUCAAACGGUUGUUCUUUGAUCUCUAGGGCACUUUAUAAUCUUUAUAAUCCUCUCUCGCUCUUUCUCUCGCUCUCUCUUUCUCUACCCCCUGCCCCCCAUCUCUCUCGCUCUCUCUCUCUGUCUAUAUGGACAAUUAAAUAGUAUAUUAAUCAAUUAAGAGAUCAAGUACAUCCAUUUUGGACGAUGGUGAAAAAAAUUUAUGUUAUUUGGCCAUGGAUAUCCCAACUUGGAAUAAAAACAUGGGCUCUCAAGAUGAGGUCAAAAUAAGAACCUGGAUCUGGUUUGGUUUGAUUACAUGAACUUACAGCACAAGUAUUGCGUUUUGGUUUGAUGGUGAAAUGGUGAGUUAAGUUUCAUUCUGGCACAAGAAACCGACCCUAUUGUAUAACACUUUCCAAUUGAAAAGAUGGACACGUAGAUCAAAUACAAUUUUUCCCUUACUGUUGACUGUGUAUGUAUUUGUAUGUGAGAUAUACCUUCAAUUUUCUCUGAUUUGAUACCUAUAUUUCCUUUGAAUUAUGAAACAACAAUAAGAAAAAAAUACGUGAGAUGGAAUUGUAUGCUUUCAUAGGUAAAAUAUGUGGAUUUAUAAAGAAAUAAAAUUAUUUUUCUUGACGCUGUGCAGCAACAUUAUUCACACAAUUUCUGAAGCGAAUCAUAUUCAUAGAUUAAUAAUUGCAUUGUUAAGUGUCAAACUUAUUUUACAUGAAGAAAAUGCGUUAGAAGCAGUGAAUUCAUCAGCUUUGUUGGUCAGUUUUUAACCAAACUGACCUCAUGACAAUGUAAUGACAGUUACAGAAGUAUGGUUUUGCCACUAAGGGAC